UGUCCAGAGUGCACCAUCAGCGAAAUGUAGGCUGUGUUUACACAUAAUUAAGGCCUGACCCACAUUAGAAAGGGAAAAAUGCUGACAAAAUGGUCUUAGCAAGGAGUAGAAAGCUGAGGGAGGGAAACAGAAAUGUUGCCAGGUUAACAUUUAAACUCUCUAGUCUUUACAAUAACAUCUUAUCAGAGAAGAGAACGCCUGCAACCAUCAACCUAUGUGAAGUAGAAAAAUUGUAGAUACAGUAAGAUAAUUAUAUUAAAGUGUCUCCUUUGUUAAUUUUGUAAGAAUAAAACACAAGUUUACAGAAGGUGCCGUCAUCGGUGCAUACCUUUGCAAAAGCCUAAUCCAAAAUCAAGGCUUUUAUUGAAGCAGAACAUGCUUUUCUUAGAUUUCAUAUAUGAAUCCAUGUGUUUACUAUCAGCUUUAGUGUUUGGUUUGGAACAAGUGAGAAAUGGUGCAUUUCAGUAGCCCACUUUAAAAAUAAAACAAACUUUAUUCAUGAAGAUUGUUUUGAUAUUAAAGUAGGAUAUGGAAAUAAUAUUUUCUCACAUACAUUUACUUAGUAAAUAUUAACUCAUAAAGUGAUCUUAAACAGCCAGAUAGGCUUCCUAUUAAAAUGUUGGAUUUUUAAUUUGGUUUAUGCUGAGUUUGGUGCAACCCUGUCACCAAAAUUCAAUCACCUGUCACACAGGUACUUUUACAUAUUGUUUAAUAAAUACUUUCUUAUAAAACAAAGUCAAAAUUAUGCCAAAAAGCAGAUUUUUAAAAUUUAUUUCAGUUCUUACAUUUGACAUGUACGUUUUAGAGCGGGGGUUUUCAAACCUUUCUGAUGUGACCCCCAAAAUAAAGGUGCCAGAGACCAGGUACCCCCACUGUAUGUGAAAGUGGUUGAAGCAUAGACACAACCAUGCACAUUCAAGAAUAGCUGCGUGCAGACUUACAUUUUAAGGAUGUUUAAAAACAUUAAUUUGACCGUAAAACUCUCCAAAUGACCAUGUUUUAAUUUUAAAUUAACUAAUUUUAUGAAAAUAUUUUAUAAAGGUUUGUAAAAUACCAUUUCAAAUCAUUUAGAGGUGUUAAUUUUUUUUUUUUUUUUUUUGAAGGCAUCUGGUGACCCCGUCUCAGUGUCUCACAAUCCCCAAGUUGAGAACCACUGAUUAAGAAGGUGUGCAAAGACAAAAUGAUAUUUAAAACAUUCUUUUAGAACAGCUUUCACCACAACAGUCCUUAUAUUUUGCCUCAGGACACAGGAAAUUUGCAUGUUGUCAGAUUUUUGGCAAUGAUCAUUUAAAAUGUGGCCGGCUGGAAAAUGUCCUCACAUUCUUGAAUGUCCCUAAAAUAAUUUCAUUUUAACUUAACAACCCUUUUUUAUUUUGUUGAUUGGAUCAUAUUGUCAUCUUUACUUGUCUAUAUCACACACUGACAAAAAUCUUGAAAACAAAUCGAUGUUUUUGGACUCAGGACUCCUCCGGACUAAGAGCUAGCGAAAACAAACGCACCUUUCCAACUCAGAACCCCGCCCCUUAAUUUAUAAUCCACCUGUGGCCAAUGAUUAUCAGUUAAAACACGGUUGUUCGCCAUUUCUCGGACUUUUAGCCGCUUUUUAGCGCACUACAAACUAAAUAUCUUCGUAGAACUGCGUCAAAACUGCGUAAGACAUUAGAGGAAUAUUCAUAUUUGUGUCACAUUUAGCUGUCGCCGCUGGGACUGCACUUCUGGCUGCUAGCUUGACUGUUCGCUAACCGUUUGCUUGAUGGACAUGACCGCCAUUUUUAAACGGAAGUUGGAAUCUUGAGGAAUCUUCUCCAAGGAUGCUAAGGACUAAACCUUCACUUUGACUCAGGAGAGAAAUAAAGAGAGGUGCACUGUGCAGAAAGCCAAAACAACAGCUAUGAAAACUUCAGGGAUCUCUGCAACACAUCAACCUUGAAAGACUCGUCACGCUUGCCUUGAUGAUCCGAGCCAGGCCGAAGUCGGCCACCUUGCAUACCAGAUCCUCUCCCACCAGGAUGUUGCGGGCAGCCAGGUCUCUGUGGACGAUGUUUCUGUCCUCCAGAACUCACAGGCGAGGUAGGACUUGAGGCUUCCUUUGCUCAUGAGUUCAGUCACGAUGUAGACCGGCUCUCCUCUAGAGCACAUCGCUAACAGCUGGAUCAGCUUUGGGUGAUGGAGACUCUUCAACGCCUGAACCUCCUUCACAAACUCGUCCUGCUUCGUGUCCUCUGCAGCAGGAGGAAGACAGAGCCUCCCACACCUCUCCAAAGUGUCCCUCUCCCAGCUUCUUCAGCAGUCUGAACUCUUCUCUCGGUCUCUCCCACGGCUCCAUGUCGAAGAGCUCCCUCUGCACAGAGAUCACAGGUGUGUCGACGGCCUCAGAUUCACAGCCCCCUCUGGAAGGAAGAGAGAAGAGGGAGCAAUCACUGAGUGGCCCCUGAUCCAUGCCAGGAAAUCAGGGAGUGACGCAUGGAGGAGAAGCUACAGACUGAAUUCGAACUGGGAGAGCGGGUCAAAUUCAAGAGGUGCAACCCAACCGGUAGACAUCUCUUUCCCACCAAGUUGAACUUGUAAGGUUUUGUCUCUGCUCUUAAUUUUACUUUUACUUCUUGUAUUUUUGAAAGGAACCAUGGCAAAAGCUUUAGAACUACAGUCCCCAUGAUGCUUUGCAGGACUUUUUUUCAAGGAUGGUGGGGCCAGUUUCAUAUACCUCUCCUGUAUGAUAUCACGUACAUGAAUCCAGUCCAGUUAAGACAUGAACCUUCGUGUUACCUUCCCGGACGAGCCCCCAAGUCAACACAAAACUACCCUCGUCUGUCAGUAAGAAAACAAAGAUAAAAUAUACACUACAGUAAAGCACGAUUUCAAUGUUCUAAUGUCGGCCAUUUUCAUUUAAGCUUUAGAAUUUGCUGCAGCUGUUUAAAAAUGGGCUGCAUUUGGCCCCUGGGCCAUAGUUUGGACACCCCUGUUAUAGAGGGUAUGCAUGUGACGUCACAGGCAGUGCGAGUCAGUGCAGUUCAGCGGCAGAGUGGCAGAAAGCGUGAACAGAUGACAGAGAUCAGGAGGUUGUGAAUGGUAAGCUGCGUUAUUCCCGCUGAAAAGGGCCGUCUUUUUAAUAAUUACACCUUGACGAUGCUCACCGUGUCCAUUACAGAUCCUCAGCUGAUGGAAUAUAUUUAUAGAAAAUGUUUGGUGCCGUAAUGAUACGUUUAUAAAGACACAAGAUGAAGCUGGGCUAUUACAGUAGGUACAAGCAUUCACACGGUGAUGAAUAUAAGCUUAACCUCAUUCCAUUCUCCUUCCCCAUACAUUAGAAGAGCUUAAAUUUCGGCAACAACCAUACGGAUAAAUAUUAUCUAAGAUGAUAGUGCAUCUAAUGACAGCAGGUUAUGUUUUAUAGCUUCACAAAUAGACCCUCGAUGUCUGAUUAACAAGGCUGGUUUCAUAGGAAAAAGACCAAUAAAUUGUGAAAUCCUCUGAUAUUUAUCACAGUUUAAAUAAAGCAGCCGUUGUAAAGCAUAUAUGAUUUCUAUGUGGUUAAAUACUGACAUUAUUUCCGUGACUGUUCAUGAACGUAUGAUACUGACAGUUAUACGACAUAAUAUGAACAUUGAGAGCUGUACCGUGUAAAUUAUCCCAUUAGAAAUAAAAUAAAGGUUAAACUGGGGUUAAUUUUGAGCUAGAUUAAGAAAGACAGACGUAGGCUAUGCUGACCUCAUUUUGAAGAUCUGAUCUCUUUUUAAAGAUUAGCUAAAGUAGAGCAGAGAAACAACUGAUCUAAAGCCUCGUAUUAACAAAACUUUUCCAUGUUAAUUCAGUUUAUUAUCCAUCUCUGAUGAACCAGGCUGAUGUGUGCCUGAUUGCUCUGCUUGGUUUACUUGAUACAAAGUCUGUUAUAAGGC